UGAGCAAUCUGCCCUUCUCAUCGGAAUAAGCGUUGGAAACGACGUCUAAUGCCGAAUACGACCUCCUUUCGCAUGAUCGGGGGUGGAAAGCUCCGGCGGAGAAGGAUGAGCUCGCGGCCUAUCAGCUAGUUGGUGUGGGUAAUGGCCCACAAGGCGACGACGGGUAGCCGGCCUGAGAGGGUGACCGGCCACACUGGGACUGAGACACGGCCCAGACUCCGUACGGGAGGCA
rnacentral:rRNA from 1 species